rnacentral:sRNA from 1 species
CAUGGACAUCCUGCCCCGGAUCAGCCAUGAGGUCCUGCUGCCCGUGCUCAGCUUCCUCACCUCCCUCGUCACGGGGUUCCCAAGUGGGGCCCAGGCCCGGACCAUCCUGUGUGUGAAAACCAUCAGCCUCAUCGCCCUCAUCUGCCUGCGCAUCGGACAGGAGAUGGUCCAGCAGCACCUGAGCGAGCCCGUGGCCACCUUCUUCCAGGUCUUCUCUCAGCUGCAUGAGCUUCGGCAACAGGAUCUGAAGCUGGACGCCACGGGCCGUGGCGAGGGCCAGCUGCCACAGGUGGUCUUCUCUGAUGGGCAGCAGCGGCCCGUGGACCCCGCCCUGCUGGACGAGCUGCAGAAGGUGUUCACCCUGGAGAUGGCAUACACAAUCUACGUGCCCUUCUCCUGCCUGUUGGGUACUGCCCCGUGACGUUCCCCAUCACAGCCUUCGUGGCUGUCUCCUCCCUUGGGAGGCCCCAUUCUCUGCCCUUGCCCCGGAGUCAGCAGUGGGUUCUAAGCGCCAGCAGGAUGGGUGAGAGCAAAGGGAUUUGGCCUCAGACCC